rnacentral:sRNA from 1 species
CAUUACCGAUCCAACCUCCUGCCCUCAGCCUGGACAUGGAGUCAAUCCAAUUGCCUCGGGUUCUCCAGACGU